AACAAUGGGGAAAAAAAAAACAAAAAAGCACAGAAAACCAUUUGAGGUUCCAGAUAUACAACAAAGAGGCAAAAGUCACUAUCAAUGAUCUCAGAGCUAGGAGGUUGGGAAAUAGAGGGUGGGUGAAAGCCGCUGGGAGAACAUAUAGCCAGCACCCCAGCAGGAGGGCGAGCAAAGUCAGGAGAAACUCCAAGGCAGGGGCCAAAGUCCCUGCCACUAAUCUUUUAUUGCUUCUGCAGGUCACACCAAGCAGAAGGUUCUCAGGAAUAUCAUGCAUGUACCAGAAAGAGAACCGAAAAUCUUGACGCCAGAAAGAAGGGCUUCUGGCCUGUGCAUCUGCCACCUGGAGCAGACCAAAUCCACAUCCUAAGACACAGGAAUCUCAGAGGACCAGGAUAGUCACCAAGUGCCAUGCCGCUGUCUGAGCAUCUCUUCUGAGGAAAAGCACUUGGCUGAGCUCUGCCCCCAUGGAACUGAUGCUGGCAAAACCAAGCGUCUGCCCAGCCAGAAUAACCACCACUUGGUGCUUUGGUGAGAAACCACAGUGAUGGCUGAAGGCUUGAGUAGCAUUUUUUUUUUUUUUUUAGACGGAGUCUCGCUCUGUCACCAGGCUGGAGCGCAGUGGUGCGAUCUCGGCUCACCGCAACCUCCGCCUCCCGGGUUCAAGCAAUUCUCCUGCCUCAGCCUCCCAAGUAGCUAGGACUACAGGCGCAUGCCACUGCGCCCAGCUAAUUUUUGUAUUUUUAGUAGAGACGAUGUUUCACCAUGUUGGCCAGGAUGGUCUCGAUCUCCUGACCUCAUGAUCCACCCACCUCGGCUACCCAAAGUGCCAAAGUGCCAGGAUUACAGGUGUGAGCCACCACGCCCAGCCAGCUUGAGCAGUUUUAAAUGACAAGCAUCCUUAAAAGAAGACCCUCAUUCUGUAUAUACUGGAUGUGAUGCUGUAUGUCAGAAAAUUACACACCAAAUUCCCUAAAACCCAGCAAAGAGAGAAAGAUCAUACUCUGAAGACCAUGUUUUAUUUUAACUGAUUAAAUAAAACUCUAUAUGGAGUAAGCCAA
rnacentral:lncRNA from 1 species